rnacentral:lncRNA from 1 species
CAGCAGUGUGCAGCGUUUUACGGUAGGGCGUGUGGCCAGUGCUGUCGGGCUCGCGGCGGCUGCAGAUGGUGGAGUACCGGACUUGUGGUGGGCGCCCAUUCACAAGAUCUACAACAUCAUCUUUGCGUCAGUUCUCCAUGAAGGCCAUCCUGCGAUACAAGGUUGCGUCUUCCUGCUAUUUGGAUGACGACGCCGAGCCUGUCGGCCUAUGCCCAUCGCUUCGGAUGUGGUAAUGUGGCGGUCGUUGUUGUUUGCCUGCAGAGGCUGUGGAGAGGUGGGACUUGAAGAGUAUAUGUAGCAGAAAGGAUCCAAGUAUUGGAGCCAAACAACUGUCUAUGCUACCACAUCAAGGUGGGUUGAGGCAAACAGAGUGAGGACAGGAAUAUACAGUAGCAGAAAGACCAAGCAGCCUGGUAGCUCUUUCAUUGAACUAGAUGGAUGCGUGCAUGAGUUCUUUGCAGAGAACGAGUCACAUUUUGAAACUGAAGCUAUAUACAACACUGUUUUAGGGAUUAAUGAACUGUUAGUAGCAGAGUCCUUCCUGAUGUGAAAGCUAAUACAUUUCUAUGGUAACCAUACCUCAGUACCUAUGAUUCAAUAAUCUUCUUUUUGUGAAAUGAUGAAACCCGAAGUAUUUCUAUGUAUUUGCAUUUCUCUCUGAGGCGGGAAGUUUAUUUUCCAGACAUUUAUGUAAUGAGCCACUUAAUGUGCAACUGAGUGCACAUUGUUAUCAAAAUUUUAUUGGUCUAUCUGAGAUGUUUCCUUCUGGUAUUGCAAUUUAUGCUAGGUAAUACCCACAAUUUUUGCUGUGAUGUUACUACGUCAGAAAAUUAGCUGUCCACUGCGUCACUUAUUUGUUCUUCUCUCAUGUUCUUGUCUGACAGUUAUAUUUUUACUCCGAACUUACUAACCCAGCUUUGGUUUCUCUGGCUUAAACUAAUCUGGGAGUAGGGUAUCAUGUGCCCGCUCACCUAUUGGUGCGGCUGGUGGAUACAGAGAGAUCAACGAUGAGGAGACCCUCGUCGUUCUUCUGAUUGCAGCCAGUUGCGUGAUGUGAUGGCGGAGUUGUUCUGCAACCGCCUAGGGGCCAUCGACGAUGGAGAACUUCCUAACGCAGUAUGUGAGUGGGGACGAUGGAGAACUUCCUGGCGCAGUGUGCGCGCGAGUGGAUUUCAGGACAGUUCAUGAUACAAGGUCAAGCUCAGCUUGGUGUAACUUCCAAAUAUAUAUUGUGCCUCAGUUUGAGUUGCAUCCACAAGCAGCUCUCACUAAUUCCAAUACACCUUAAAUUGAUUUGGAUCAUUAGUGUUGGACUGUGGACAUAUAUCUAUAUCCGAUUGUACUCCGGGUGUUUUCAGUUCUGAAAUAUUUUUUGGCAAUUUGAUUCUGAAAUUUUAGCUUGAUGUUGAGAAAACGAGCAAAUUUUGUGGUGCACUUGGAUCUGGUUUUAUGCUUACAGUUUCAAGGGGAAACAUUCGGGGUUGUGAUCCAAGUAUAUGAAAUCAGUUUAUCUAAAUUGAGUUGUCGACAGUACAUCCUCUAAAUUAGCUUAUCUGAAAUCAGUUUGUUUUUAUUAAUUGUUGCACAGGGGACAUGAUAGCCAUGGCCAACUUUGAGCCCAGCAUCAAGUUGGAAAGCUUUAUCUGAGAUGUGUUUUUUAGCUAUGCCCUUUUAUGUCUUAGUUUGGUCUCUGAAUUUUUGGGCGGCGCUUAUCAUUUAAGAUCAACACAACAUUUUGCUUCAUUUGUGCUUCAAAGAAAGCUGCUGCAUAGGGACAUUUGAUGUGGUGGAUUUCAGAGAAUCAUUUUAGGGUAUUGCAUUUCGUUCAGAAAUUUUGACAUUUGGACAGUGUGUACAAUUGAAAGGAAUAGCUUGAUAUGAGUUAUGUAGGUUCAACGUUUCAACUUUUUGACAAUUUUUUAUGUUUAUCCUGGCAGAAAAGUGGAGCAGCUGUGUGAAGAGGUUGCUUAAUUGAAGGGAAUCAUCGAGAAGAUGUUAC